CCUACGGGCGGCAGCAGUAGGGAAUCUUCCACAAUGGGCGAAAGCCUGACGGAGCAACGCCGCGUGGGUGAAGAAGGUCUUCGGAUCGUAAAACCCUGUUGUUAGAGAAGAAAGUGCGUGAGAGUAACUGUUCACGUUUCGACGGUAUCUAACCAGAAAGCCACGGCUAACUACGUGCCAGCAGCCGCGGUAAUACGUAGGUGGCAAGCGUUAUCCGGAUUUUUUGGGCGUAAAGGGAACGCAGGCGGUCUUUUAAGUCUGAUGUGAAAGCCUUCGGCUUAACCGGAGUAGUGCAUUGGAAACUGGUAGACUUGAGUGCAGAAGAGGAGAGUGGAACUCCAUGUGUAGCGGUGAAAUGCGUAGAUAUGUGGAAGAACACCAGUGGCGAAAGCGGCUCUCUGGUCUGUAACUGACGCUGAGGUUCGAAAGCGUGGGUAGCAAACAGGAUUAGAUACCCGAGUAGUC
rnacentral:rRNA from 1 species